UAGAGUUUGGAUCUGGCUCAGGAUGAACGCUGGCGGCGUGCCUAAUACAUGCAAGUCGAGCGAAUGGAUUAAGAGCUUGCUCUUAUGAAGUUAGCGGCGGACGGGUGAGUAACACGUGGGUAACCUGCCCAUAAGACUGGGAUAACUCCGGGAAACCGGGGCUAAUACCGGAUAACAUUUUGAACCGCAUGGUUCGAAAUUGAAAGGCGGCUUCGGCUGUCACUUAUGGAUGGACCCGCGUCGCAUUAGCUAGUUGGUGAGGUAACGGCUCACCAAGGCAACGAUGCGUAGCCGACCUGAGAGGGUGAUCGGCCACACUGGGACUGAGACACGGCCCAGACUCCUACGGGAGGCAGCAGUAGGGAAUCUUCCGCAAUGGACGAAAGUCUGACGGAGCAACGCCGCGUGAGUGAUGAAGGCUUUCGGGUCGUAAAACUCUGUUGUUAGGGAAGAACAAGUGCUAGUNGAAUAAGCNGGCACCUGAC
rnacentral:rRNA from 1 species